UACGUAGGGGGCAAGCGUUGUCCGGAAUCAUUGGGCGUAAAGAGCGUGUAGGCGGUUCGGUAAGUCGGCUGUGAAAGUCCAGGGCUCAACCCUGGGAUGCCGGUCGAUACUGCCGGACUAGAGUUCGGAAGAGGCGAGUGGAAUUCCCGGUGUAGCGGUGAAAUGCGCAGAUAUCGGGAGGAACACCUAUGGCGAAGGCAGCUCGCUGGGACGUUACUGACGCUGAGACGCGAAAGCGUGGGUAGCAAACAGG
rnacentral:rRNA from 1 species